rnacentral:rRNA from 2 species
CGCGGCCUAUCAGCUUGUUGGUGGGGUAAUGGCCUACCAAGGCGGCGACGGGUAGCCGGCCUGAGAGGGUGGACGGCCACAUUGGGACUGAGAUACGGCCCAGACUCCUACGGGAGGCAGCAGUGGGGAAUAUUGCACAAUGGGCGCAAGCCUGAUGCAGCGACGCCGCGUGGGGGAUGACGGCCUUCGGGUUGUAAACUCCUUUCGCUAGGGACGAAGCUUUUUGUGACGGUACCUAGAUAAGAAGCACCGGCUAACUACGUGCCAGCAGCCGCGGUAAUACGUAGGGUGCGAGCGUUGUCCGGAAUUACUGGGCGUAAAGGGCUCGUAGGUGGUUUGUCGCGUCGUCUGUGAAAUUCCGGGGCUUAACUCCGGGCGUGCAGGCGAUACGGGCAUAACUUGAGUACUGUAGGGGUAACUGGAAUUCCUGGUGUAGCGGUGAAAUGCGCAGAUAUCAGGAGGAACACCGAUGGCGAAGGCAGGUUACUGGGCAGUUACUGACGCUGAGGAGCGAAAGCAUGGGUAGCGAACAGGAUUAGAUACCCUGGUAGUCCAUGCCGUAAACGGUGGGCGCUAGGUGUGAGGGUCUUUUCACGACUUUCGUGCCGUAGCUAACGCAUUAAGCGCCCCGCCUGGGGAGUACGG